UGGAUCUUAGUGGCGAACGGGUGAGUAACGCGUAGGCAAUCUGCCUUCUAGAUGGGGACAACAUCCCGAAAGGGGUGCUAAUACCGAAUGUUGUAGUUGGUUCGCAUGGACUAGCUACUAAAGGUGGCCUCUGAAUAUGCUACCGCUAGAAGAUGAGCCUGCGUCUGAUUAGCUAGUUGGAGGGGUAACGGCCCACCAAGGCUUCGAUCAGUAGCCGGUCUGAGAGGAUGAACGGCCACACUGGGACUGAGACACGGCCCAGACUCCUACGGGAGGCAGCAGUGGGGAAUCUUCCGCAAUGGACGAAAGUCUGACGGAGCAACGCCGCGUGAGUGAAGAAGGUUUUCGGAUCGUAAAGCUCUUUCGUUAGGGACGAACGUGCUCUUUGUGAAUAAUGAGGAGUAAUGACGGUACCUAAAUAAGAAGCCACGGCUAACUACGUGCCAGCAGCCGCGGUAAUACGUAGGUGGCAAGCGUUGUCCGGAAUUAUUGGGCGUAAAGCGCGCGCAGGCGGGAUAUCAAGUCUG
rnacentral:rRNA from 1 species